UGAAGUAUGGAAAAGUGGACAAGGCACCUGCCCGGUAAGCAGAAGGGUGUGGGUUCGAUUCCCGCCCCUGGACACUUUUUAU